GUGGCACAAAGUCACGAAGCCAAGUGUGUUUGAAAAAUUUCUACCAAGCUUGAAACAGAUACUGACAUGAAGUAACAUAAACUUCAAAGGUUUUCCAGAGGAACGUUUCUCGACCCCCCCCCCCCUUACUGUAGAUGUUUCGUUAUACCAAAAUUGGCCACCCUCUUUUAGGACCCUGGCUAAAAGCCUGUAUAUAGGUAAUGGUUUUGAGCAUGAUUUAGGAAUAAAACCCACA